CCUACGGGUGGCUGCAGUGAGGAAUAUUGGUCAAUGGACGAGAGUCUGAACCAGCCAAGUCGCGUGAAGGAUGACUGCCCUGUGUAUUGUAAACCUCUUUUAUAUGGGAAUAAAACAGGGUAUGCAUACCCUCUUGUAUGUACCAGAUGAAUAAGGAUCGGCUAACUCCGUGCCAGCAGCCGCGGUAAUACGGAGGAUCCGAGCGUUAUCCGGAUUUAUUGGGUUUAAAGGGGGCGUAGGUGGAUUGUUAAGUCAGUUGUGAAAGUUUGCGGCUCAACCCUAAAAUUGCAGUUGAAACUGGCAGUCUUGAGUAGAGUAGAGGUGUGCGGAAUUCGUGGUGUAGCGGUGAAAUGCUUAGAUAUCACGAAGAACUCCGAUUGCGAAGGCAGCUCACUGGUCUGCAACUGACACUGAUGCACGAAAGUGUGGGUAUCAAACAGGAUUAGAUACCCCAGUAGUC
rnacentral:rRNA from 1 species